CACUGGCCUCCACCUCCCCAAGUGCCGGGAUUACAGGCGUGAGCCACCACACCCGACCCUAUAUUCUUUCCUUUUUUUUUUGAGAUGGGGUUUCGCUCUUGUUGCCCCUUUUCCUUGGAAGGUGUCACAUUUCAUUGCGUUCUCAUGUUUCAUGUAUUCUUACACUGAUAUCUACACAUCUGGUGUAACAGUCACUUCUGCCAACUUUUAAAAUUUGCUUUCAUAGGGGAAGAUUCUUUCCUGUAGAUGUAUCUACGCUAUUGGAUGCACAGGGCACUUUGGCUUUGAUUCCGAGUGUGUUCAGUAGCAUGGUGUCUGUAUGAUUUCUUUGGAUGUAAAUAGCAUCAAUAGUACCUGUGAUUUUCUUAGUGGCUUAGGGUGCAGUUCGUGGAGGCUGUGGUGAAGUUUUGCUGGGGACUGGGACACCAGGUGGGCCAGUCUUUGGACCCUGAUGGUGGUACCAGUGGGCCAAGUAUGCCUGUCCUUAGGCUCCAGGGCUGUGUUUGCUUGCACCAGUGUUAGCAGUUCCAGGCAAGCUGAUUUUGGGGUCUCCUGGUGUCUUGGAGGCCAGUAGUGGCAGCAGUGCAAGGGUGGGUGGGUUCUCCGACCCCUGGGCAACUGGUGUAGUAUGGACGAUGGCAGUGGUGGGACAAUCCUCUGUGUCCCGUGCAGUGCAUGCUGGUGUUGGCAGUGGCUGCAAAGGGCUGGACGGGCCAUUCUCCAGGCCUGCAGGUGGUAUGUGCAGGUAGGUGCCAGCUGUGGUGGUAGCAGCCAGG
rnacentral:lncRNA from 1 species